GUCACUUUGCCGGAGUGGUUAACGGGAUCGCCUGCUACCUUUCAGUAGUCAAAAGCGGUUGGGCUUUGCCCGCGUGUGUUCGAAUCGCACAGGUGACG
rnacentral:tRNA from 1 species